UACGUAGGGGGCUAGCGUUGUCCGGAAUCAUUGGGCGUAAAGAGCGUGUAGGCGGUCCGGUAAGUCCGCUGUGAAAGUCGGGGGCUCAACCCUCGAAUGCCGGUGGAUACUGUCGGGCUAGAGUGCGGAAGAGGCGAGUGGAAUUCCUGGUGUAGCGGUGAAAUGCGCAGAUAUCAGGAAGAACACCCGUGGCGAAGGCGGCUCUCUGGCCCGGUACUGACGCUGAGGUGCGAAAGCGUGGGGAGCAAACAGG
rnacentral:rRNA from 1 species